rnacentral:rRNA from 1 species
AUUGAACGCUGGCGGCAGGCCUAACACAUGCAAGUCGAACGAGAGGCGGACGCGUGAGUAAUGUCUGGGACACUGUCCGAUGUAGGGGGAUAACUACUCGAAACGGUAGCUCAUACAGCAUACCAUCGGAUGUGCCCAGAUGGGAUUUGCUAGUGGGUGGGGUAACGGCUCACCUAGGCGACGAUCCCUAGCUGGUCUGAGAGGAUGACCAGCCACACUGGAACUGAGACACGGUCCAGACUCCUACGGGAGGCAGCAGUGGGGAAUAUUGCACAAUGGGGGAAAGCCUGAUGCAGCCAUGCCGCGUGUAUGAAGAAGGCCUUCGGGUUGUAAAGUACUUUCAGCGGGGAGGCGUUACUCGCAGAAGAAGCACCGGCUAACUCCGUGCCAGCAGCCGCGGUAAUUC